rnacentral:rRNA from 1 species
GAUGAACGCUGGCGGCGUGCCUAAUACAUGCCAGUCGAGCGAACAGACGAGGAGCUUGCUCCUCUGACGUUAGCGGCGGACGGGUGAGUAACACGUGGAUAACCUACCUAUAAGACUGGGAUAACUUCGGGAAACCGGAGCUAAUACCGGAUAACAUGUUGAACCGCAUGGUUCAACAGUGAAAGACGGUUUUGCUGUCACUUAUAGAUGGUUCCGCGCCGCAUUAGCUAGUUGGUAAGGUAACGGCUUACCAAGGCAACGAUGCGUAGCCGACCUGAGAGGGUGAUCGGCCACACUGGAACUGAGACACGGUCCAGACUCCUACGGGAGGCAGCAGUAGGGAAUCUUCCGCAAUGGGCGAAAGCCUGACGGAGCAACGCCGCGUGAGUGAAGAAGGUCUUCGGAUCGUAAAACUCUGUUAUUAGGGAAGAACAAAUGUGUAAGUAACUAUGCACGUCUUGACGGUACCUAAUCAGAAAGCCACGGCUAACUCCGUG